rnacentral:snRNA from 1 species
GUCUCACUUCAGCAGCACACAUACUAAAAUUGGAGCAGUAUAGAGAAGGUUAGCAUGGCCGUCCGCAGGGAUGACACACAAAUUCAUGAAGUAUUCCUUUCUUUU